UAUAUUUUUACAGAAAGGAGGGACUUGACUAGCCCAACCUUACUCACACCUCCUGUUUCCAAGAACUGGGUUCCAUAGCCAUUUUCCUGAUUUCCCAAGAGAAGAAUUUCCAGAGAGACACCUGCAGCAUCUCCCCUGCUCAGUCAUGCUCCUGUUGCUCCUGGCAGUACUGGGGAUGAUUUUUGCCCUGCGAGAUGCCAGAGCCCAGUCUGUGACUCAGCAGGUCGGCCCUGUCACUGUCUCUGAGGGAGACUUUCUGGAGUUGAGAUGCAACUAUUCAUAUGGUGCUACUCCUUCUCUCUACUGGUAUGUCCAGUACCCAGGCCAAGACCUCCAGCUUCUCCUCAGAUACUACUCAGGGGACCCCAUUGUGAAAGGCAUCAAUGGCUUUGAGGCGGAAUUUAGGAAGAGAGAAUCUUCCUUCAACUUGAGGAAACACCCAGUGCAUUGGAGUGACUCAGCUGUGUACUUCUGUGCUGUGAGUGCCACAGUGCCUGGGACUGCAGGGGGAGCUGAACACAAACUUUGUGAGGAUGCUAGGGAGGGUGAACUGAGAGCUCAGUCAGUGACUCAGCCGGACGCUCAGAUUACUGUCUCUGAAGGGAAUCCUCUGACUGUGAAAUGCACCUAUUCAAUUUCUGGGAGCCCUUAUCUCUUUUGGUAUGUCCAGUAUCCCAAGGAAGGCCUCCAGUUUCUUCUAAAAUACAUCACAGGGGACAACCUGGUUAAAGGCAACUAUGGUUUUGAGGCUGAAUUUAAUAAGAGCCAAACCUCUUUUCACCUGAAGAAAACAUCUGCCCUUUGGAGUGACUCUGCUGUGUACUUCUGUGCUGUGAGUGACACACUGAUGAAACUUCAAGGGAAGCUGAACAGAAACGCUUGA